rnacentral:sRNA from 1 species
UUUUUGCGUUAACGAUAGAAACGGCAUCCUUUUUUGCAAUUAACCACUAUGCACAUUGGCAAAAAAGAUAUAGUGGAUAGCGUGUUAAAAC